GCGUGGUCGAACUGUCGAACUUUGACGGCGAAGGCGCUUAGCCUGAGUCCCAGUUCGAGCAAGGUUAAGCUGUCAGCGUUGAUGGCGAAGGAGCUUAGCCUGAGUCACAGUCUGAGCGAGGUAGAACUGUCAAACUUUUAUGGAGAAGGCACUUAGUCUUAGUCCUAGUUCGAGUGAGGUCGAACCGUAAACUUUGAUGCGAAGGUGCUUAGCCAUUGACUUGGUUCGAGCGAGGUCGAACUAUCAACUUUUGACGGCGAAGGCGCUUAGCUUGAGUCCUAAUCCGUGUGAGGUCGAACUGUCGAACUUUGAUGGAGAAGGCACCUCCUUUUACUUUGUUCGAGCGCAGUCGAACUGUCAAACU
rnacentral:lncRNA from 1 species